CAAGUGCACGCGGACACGCCCCCUUGUUUCCGUGGAAACGUGAGCACUGCGCACUGUGCGCAGUUUCACUUUAGAACGAAGGACGGUCGAGUCUUUGCUACAGUAUCUUAUCCUGGCGAACGCAUUUAUACAAUCAUGGACAGUGUUAAGAUGGGCGUGAAGGAAAUGGUUAUUGAAGUGAAUGGACUUCCAGACGAAUACCCCAAUAAUAAAAUGAUUGACAAAUUAACCAUGCACUUUCUGAGACCCAGUAACAAUGGUGGAGAGGUUUUAAUAGUGAUAUAUCCCACCUCCAACAAAGGCCAGGCUUAUGUUGUUUUUGAAUCGGAAGUACCCCGAGUCUUGGACCAUAAACAUGUUUUGGAACUGGAUAGUCAGUUUUACCCACUGGAUGUUAAAAAGAUACAUCAGCCUAAG
ensembl:lncRNA